AAUAUUGGACAAUGGGCGAAAGCCUGAUCCAGCCAUGCCGCGUGUGUGAAGAAUGUCUUCGGAUUGUAAAGCACUUUAAGUUGGGAGGAAGGGGUUGAAGCUAAUACCUUCAAUCUUUGACGUUACCAACAGAAUAAGCACCGGCUAACUCUGUGCCAGCCGCCGCGGUAAUACGAAGGGUGCAAGCGUUAAUCGGAAUUACUGGGCGUAAAGCGCGCGUAGGUGGUUCGUUAAGUUGGAAGUGAAAGCCCCGGGCUUAACCUGGGAAUUGCUUUCAAAACUGACGAGCUAGAGUACGGUAGAGGGUAGUGGAAUUUCCUGUGUAGCGGUGAAAUGCGUAGAUAUAUGGAGGAACACCAGUGGCGAAAGCGGCUACCUGGCCUGUAACUGACGCUCAUGCACGAAAGCGUGGGGAGCAAAUAGG
rnacentral:rRNA from 1 species